AGAUGGCACAGAGUCAUAUCAUAAGCUACUAUCGAUUUGGUUCAUGCACAAGUUAGCAAUGAUUAUUAUGUCCUUAAUCCUAAUGCUAUAAUAAGAUUCACAAAAUAACACACAUAUAUACACAUUCACAUAGUUCUAAAAAUAAUUUUUUAAAGGGGUAUCAUUUUUCUAAAAAAUCAAUCACAAAAAUUUAUCAAAUGCCCUAGAUACUCAAAAAUCUCCUAAUUACACACAAAACAAAACACA
rnacentral:lncRNA from 1 species